ensembl:snoRNA
UGGUCAUUACCAAGGCUUUCAUAAUGCAGUUGUUCAUUUGCUGAGAACAUGAUCAGAAAACACACACACCUCCCUACUAGGUUUUCUACAUGUCACCUGCCUAGAGCAGUCAGCCCAUUGUGAGCAGUU